rnacentral:rRNA from 1 species
UUCAGAGGUCCCGAGCGUUGUUCGGAUUUACUGGGCGUAAAUGGAGCGUAGGCGGUUCGGUAUGUCGAAUGUGAAAGCCCACAACUCAACUGUGGAAAUGCAUUCGAAACUGCCGGGCUAGAGUACUGGAGAGGAGAGCGGAAUUCUUGGUGUAGCGGUGAAAUGCGUAGAUAUCAAGAGGAACACCGGUGGCGAAGGCGGCUCUCUGGACAGAUACUGACGCUCACGCGCGAAAGCUGGGGUAGGCGAACUGGAUUAGA